GGUAACAGCGUGACAGGUGGCGCGGAAAUGCGGGUGGUGCAGUGGGUAAUCAGAAGUACUGGGCGUAAAUCUCACGCAGGCGGUUAGAUAAUAUAGAAAGGAAAGACCCGGGUUCAAACUGGGAAUUGCAUUUUAAACUGUCCAGCUAGAGUCGUGUAGAGUGGGGUAGAAUGCCAAGUGUAGCGGUGAAAUGCGUAGAGAUCUGGAGGAAUACCGGUGGCGAAGGCGGCCCCCUGGACAAAGACUGACGCUCAGGUGCGAAAGCGUGGGGAGCAAACAGGAUUAGAUACCCUAGUAGUC
rnacentral:rRNA from 1 species